GUAGAAACAUUGCCAGAUCAAACUGGGCCUGGUGCAGCCUUCUGGCUUCCCAGACCCCAGUUGAACCGUCCAACCCAUGCUAGCAUGGAAAGCGGACGCUAAACUAUGAUGAUGAUGAUGAUGAUGCCAUCUGGUGAUAGCAGUAUACUUCCUGUCGACUUGGGCUAUUUCUUCAUUCUGUCAACUACAACAGACAGAUGGCUGCUAAAUGUGUUCACUGCUUAUCAUCACAUUCUUUCCAGUGAUUCUAAUUCACAAUGAAAUUUUACAAAAGACAUUAACGCUUACAUGUUCAUCAAAAGCUGUGAGCGCCAAUGUCCCAGUCAAGCUAUCAACUCAUUGGAAGAACUACCAAAGGCUACUGGAACUUGAGUGAAAUUCUCUGGAGGUAAACUAUUGAAAGUUAAAGUGUUAGUUUGAAGCUCUCGGCUAGAUUUGGUUAAAUCUAGUAUUGAGAUCUCCAAAUGCACAACAGUAAUUAAGACUAUAAGCACUAACGAGUAGAUGAUUAUUUGAAGAUUAGGCCUUUGGUUUUCGUUUUAAGGAGUGAUUAAAUCACAUGACUGGUAUCUUCAAUUUAUUGAAGGAUAAAAUAUUUAUUUCACACAAUAACAAGGCUAAUAAGGUGUUUAUUAGUUUAUUAUAAGGAAAUGACUUCCAUCCGCUGGCAAUUAGCUGUAUUGACUCCCUGUGCUAGUCUGGCCUUCUCCCAAAUGCAUUAUUGGCAGGAGUGGAACAGUUGUUACUAGUCAUUCAAUCCAAAUAGUAAUACUAACUUCUGCUUACCAACUACACUUCAGUACUUGCCUCCCUCUUGUGGUGGAUUCACCCGAUAUAGCCCAUCCUCAUCCAAAGGUGAUGAUGGGCAAAGUUACUCCCAGUGAAAUUUGAAGACCACCACAGUGAGAGAGUUAAAAGACGGCUCCAAUCUCCAUGCUGGACUCUGUGAUUCUAUCUUCGUUAAGAAGAAGUUAAUGAGCUGUUAAUGAUGGAAUGCAUAAUCAUUUGAGUGGGUAAAACCAAAACUGUCCUGUGAUGUAAGAUUAAUAAUUUAUUUCUGACAAGGUGUUAUUUUAAUAUAGAACAAACCCCUUACCAUAGACCCCCCCCACCCAUUGUUAUGUCUUCUGUUACCAUAGUGAUCUAUGUUAUUGUGCGGUUAGGGAUACACCCCACCCCCUCCAUCAGAUGUCACCUCUUGAAUGAAUGCUUAACGGCUGACUGGCAAAGGAUAAGGGUUUUCGCAGCCCCUUUAACCUGGUGUUAAGAGUUACGGUAUAGCUGCAAAAGGCCUGGUCUGUGACACCAUUUGCUUCAAUGAUCUGUUUCUGACGUCUCCGUCAUGGCUGGAUCGGUUCUAUGACGAAGUUCUCCGGUUUUCCCCAACCCCAGAAAAAUUAAUUUUUAUUUUCCUUUUUUUUCAUUCAUCUCCCUUUCCAUGCAUUUCUUUUCUAUUUGGUCAAAAAAAUAUUAAAUAAAAGCAAACACACACACACACACCAAAAAGAAUGUAAAUCAAAACAAGUGACUUCAUAAAAAACAAAAAUUCAUUUUCCCAACCAAAACAGCUGCAGAAUGACUGUUUCCAUAUUUGGCCAUCCAGAGUGAAUCCUUAUUUUUCAUCUCCCCCUCCCCCAAUCUCAUCUUUUGACAAAUCAUAUUCGAUUCUAUAAAACAAAAAAUACAGAAAGGGACAAAUGUUGAGAAACGAAACUCUGCUUCAUUCAACUUCAUUCAACUUCAUUCAACAUCGUUCAUAACAUUUAUCUUUCUUUUUCCCUUUUGUUUUGGUUCCAUGGCAACACAUGAAAAUCACAUUCUUUUAUUUUAUUUUUUUUUUUGUUGCAGAAAAAUUUAACUAUUAAAUUUUUAUUCUACUUUUUAAUCAUU